UACAGAGACCUCAAGCGUUAUCCGGAAUCAUUGGGCGUAAAGCGUACCGAUAGGUGGUUAUAUAAGUCAGAGGUGAAAUCUCCGAGCUCAACUCGGAAUCUGUCCUUUGAAACUAUAUGACUAGAGGGGCAAAGAGGAAGCUGGAACGAACGGUGUAGUAGUGAAAUGCGUUGAUAUCGUUCGGAACACCAAUAGCGAAGGCAGGCUUCUGGGUGCCACCUGACACUGCUAGGACGAAAGCGUGGGGAGCGAAUGGG
rnacentral:rRNA from 1 species